rnacentral:lncRNA from 1 species
AAAGAAACUGACUACCAUCUGAACAAUGAGUGUUUUGUCAGCUUCUUAUGUUCAAGCAUAGAUAGUCAUUAUCCCAUUAAAACCUGACGGUGGAGUGCCUUCCUGUAAGUACAGGUCUCUAUACACCAAGACUUGCUCUUCAGUUGCCUCUGAGAAGUCGACUGACCAAUGUACGAACACUUACACGACCACCUGGAGAAACUGUGUAUUUGUAAACGCGCAGAUGACAUUUGAUAAGAGGUUGCUUGACUGCUUUAUCGGAGUUCAAUCUUUUUGGUCGUAAUUGAUUUUCUUAGUGUAUGUUGAAGGUAAUUCAUAACACCAAACAUUAAUAUUUUUUUCGCAAUAGUUAAAAAAUAUUGCCAGUUAUAUUUCGGUGGUGCUUAACUUUUGGCGGACUGUAUAUAUUGUAUAA